UCCAGCUGCUACUUGCAUAUUUUACCAGUAUUUUGCUGGUGCUGAUCUCUGACUCUGAAUGUGGGUAAUUCAGCAUAAAGAUAUCCUGCAAGAAAACAAACAAUUAAAAAAACAACUAAAUGUUCAUCUGAAUAAAAUGCUAAAAUGAGUUGGAAUAAAUAUUUACAUUAGAAUCAGACGCCUCCAAACUUCGGUGUCUGAUCUUAAUGAUGGUCCCUCAGUGAACCUUCACUAACAGGAGGGCCUGGAGGUGAGCUGACCGACCUCCUGCCACCAACACCGGGUGUAACUGAGUCAGAGAGCCCGCUGGAGAUUUUAGUUUUAAACUCAGUUAGGUGUUUUAAAAGAGAAACAUUAAACAUUUAAAUGUUAGGCUGUUGUCAAAACAUUUAUGGCCAACAGUAGCAGCUGACCGCGGGGGAACAUGGCGGCGGAGGGAGGGAGAAGCUAUCCGCCAUCUUUGAUUCUCCUGUCCGACAGACUAAAAAGAAAGCACCGGCCGCUCAGGACUUUACACCGAGCUAUGGAUGUGACAAGAGACCGCCUAACAGCUCUGGGUGUACCGCAGAGGACUUCACAUCAUCUCCGCGUGCACGUCCAGAGAGUCCACAGUGAGGUCGUAGGGGUCCAUGUUGAGUUUGUUGAAGACCUCUUUGAGUGUGAGCUUCUGGCCACCCUUCUCCAGGACCACGCGAUCUGCCUCCGUCUGUGUCUGAACACAUCAGCACACACAGUUUCCUGUCCAACAGACCUGUAUGAAGACAAACUUCACUGACCGUGCCUGCAGCUUCCUGACGGCCUCCUCAUCCUGUCUGGCACGCCGCUCAUCCUCCAGCGCGUCCUCCAGUUGGCGGUACAUGUCCUCCAGCUCCUGAACUCGCUGCAGGUACUGCUCCAGCUCAGUGGACUUCUGGGCCACCUGCUCCUCCAUCUGCUGCCGUACCUGUGGGACCAGGUCCGUCCUGUAUCGGUCCUGGAGUUCAGUCUGGGUCUGAAGACGCCUUCGUUCUUCUUCUGCUGCGUUAGCCGCAGCCUCCUCCAGAGCCUGUACGGAAGAGGAGAAAAGGGGCACGUUUUAUGGAAGACAACGUUACUGACCGGAGGAUUUUGUAUCUAUGCUGCUUUCUGCUUCCAUCAGAUUAAAUGGAGACUGCCUCCAAAGAUA